UACGUAGGGGGCGAGCGUUGUUCGGAAUUACUGGGCGUAAAGCGCACGUAGGCGGCUUUGCAAGUUAGAGGUGAAAGCCCGGGGCUCAACUCCGGAAUUGCCUUUAAAACUGCAUCGCUAGAAUUGUGGAGAGGUAAGUGGAAUUCCGAGUGUAGAGGUGAAAUUCGUAGAUAUUCGGAAGAACACCAGUGGCGAAGGCGACUUACUGGACACAUAUUGACGCUGAGGUGCGAAAGCGUGGGGAGCAAACAGG
rnacentral:rRNA from 1 species